AUCCAAUUGAUGAGUCCCAAAUAGGACAAAACACGCUUUAAGUUGGAU
rnacentral:hammerhead_ribozyme from 1 species